GGUUAUUCAACACUCUAAUGGUCUUUCAUUCUCAAAUAGAGAGGAUUGACACAUGUGGUGAGAGUAGUAGGAGGUCAUAAUGUAGGCGCUACUUGGAGGUCUAUUGCGUGGUAAUAGACUUACCUUGUAUGAGUAGUAGGAUGAAACCCAUUGACAAUGACUUCGCCAAGCAAUAGAGGCCACCACAAGUGUACAAUCCGCC
rnacentral:lncRNA from 1 species